GAUGAACGCUGGCGGCGUGCCUAAUACAUGCAAGUCGAACGAACAGACGCUGAUCUUGUUCGUUUCACGUUUGCCGCGCGCGGGAGAGUCACGCGUGGAUACCCCCCCUAUAUUACUGAGAUCACCACGAGAAAGCGGAGCUAAUACCGUAUGAUCUACUGAACCAUAUGGUUCAAUAGUGAAAGACGGCUUUGCGGUCUCUUCUAGAUGCUUCCGGGCUGCAUUAGCUAGUUGGUAAGGUAACGGCCUACCAAGGCAACGAUGCGUAGCCGACCUGCGAGGGGGAUCGGCGACCCUGGAACUGAGACACGGUCCAGACGACUACGGGACGCAGCAGUAGGGAACCUGCCGCAGUGGGCGAAAGCCUGACGGAGUAACGCCGCGUGAGUGACGAAGGCGUUCGGAUCGUAAUGCUCUGUUAUUGGGGAAGAACAGAUGUCGACGUAAAUAUGCAGGGCUUGACGGUAACUAGUCAGAAAGCCACGGCUAACUACGUG
rnacentral:rRNA from 1 species